UAAGUUUAUGGACUAUUUUUUUAACUUUAUUAUUCAUGUUUAUUCAUGUUAUGUAAGGGGACAUUUGUUAUGAAUGCAGCACAAAAAUAUUCAGCCUGCAAAAGCAAAUAUAUUUGUUAUUACUGAUAAUGAUUGUGUCUUCCUUUCGCAUUUGCAUUUAUUGUGCAUCUUUGCCAGGAUUAAUGAGAAGAUCUGGCAUGACAUGUGCUCUCAGAUGUAUAUGUAACACUCUUUGUAAACACACACACACACACACACACACCUAUCAUUAAGGGGACUGUCCAUGCGCAAUCGUUUUUAUACUGUACUAUAUUCUCCCCCCUUUAAAUUUGGGAAUACCAGUACACACACACACACACACACACACACACACAAUUAGUAUAAUGCAUACUAAUGAGUUAUAUCAUAAAAACAACUUUUUCUUCUUUGUUCAACAGGUGGGGCCAACAUUUGGGCGCACAUUUAUGACAGGUUAUCUGUCAUCAAAAGGCAUACGUGCAGGUGAAGUUCGGGUCGGUAAAGCGCUACGACUGGUUCAUCCACCAUAUCAUGAAUUGCGACAUACGGGUGUACGCAAAUCUGAAUCCAGUCCCCUACCAUGCAGAAUACAUGGGACAUAAACUACACUUGGACCAAAAUGAGAAACUGGUGAUGUUUGGAGUGACGCAUGUUGUGGCAAUAGAUGGCUUCAGCAGCCAAAUUGUGGCUCAUGACACCAUGCCCGUUAAAAACAACUUAACAAUCUAUCAGAAUGUUUACAGAGAAGCUGUGACAAAAAACGGCAUGUGGGAUCAAAUCCGGGUUGACCAUGGAAAAGUUCUAUAUGUGCCUGUAUAUCCAAGAGCUGCUGUCCAGACACAGAUACAAUAUAAACAGGCAACCAUAUGUACAGACAAAAUCAUCAAGGAACCUCAAAGUUGAGCGAAUAUGGCCAGAAAUAAAUAACAGAGUCAACUAUCCCCUGAAAGAAGCCCUGCUGCAACUUCAAGACCAAGAGGUGAUCAACAUGGAGGACAACACAACUAGAUUUUGUGUAUCCAAUCUCACUUGUCAGGUUUCCUCAAUUGGGGUUGAACGAACUGUGCUAUCAUGGAAUGCACAUAGGAUUGCAGGAAAAGGAAUCCCAAACAUCUUGGCUGAAGGUGGGUGUCCAGCAAAGAUUUCCGAGGAAACUCCUUCCACAGGCCUCUGUGGUUGCUGACAUGUACCAGCAAGAUGUGGGGUCCUGUCUGACAAGAACAUCAACAUUCGGGACAGAUCCCUUUUCUUGUGAGGAAGACAGAGCCCAGGCGGAGGAAAAAUUUGCUGAUCAUUAUCCAGACAUUACACGGUGCUUUGAUCAGGCUGUAAAUUAUGACUUCACACCCUUUAAAGAAGCCAUAUUACAUCUCAUAAAUGUAACAAGACGUUAUUCAUGAAGAUAAAGGUUUCUUUAAGAAUACCAGGAACAAGACAUUCAUCAUAAAACCAACAUUUAUUACAUAUUUCUGUGAACAAUAAUUUUACAAAGUACAAAAAUAAACAGCAAGUCUUUUGAACAUAGGCAUUAUCAAUUGUAUUAAAACAAUGCUGUAAUUUGAGGUAUAAAACUGUCACAUUAAAGCUUUAAUAAAGUGC